rnacentral:rRNA from 1 species
UGGGGAAUUUUUCGCAAUGGGCGCAAGCCUGACGAAGCAACGCCGCGUGGUGGAUGAAGGCCUUCGGGUUGUAAACUCUUGUCGACCGGGACGAAAGCUGUCUGACCCAAUACGUCGUGCAGUUGACUGUACCGGUGGAGGAAGCCACGUCUAACCCUGUGCCAGCAGCCGCGGUAAUGCAGAGGUGGCAAGCGAUGUUCGGUAUUACUGGGCGUAAAGGGCGCGUAGGCGGUUCUGUAAGUACUGUGUGAAAUCCCUCGGCUCAAAUGAGGGACUGCACGGGGGACUGCCAUGCUUGAGUUCGGGAGGAGGAAGCGGAAAUCCAGGUGUAGCGGUGAAAUGCGUAUGUAUCCGGGGGAACACCGGUGGCUAAGGCGGCUUCCUGGACCGGCACUGUCGCUGAGGCGCGAAAGCUAGGGGAGCAAACGAG